GACGAACCGUGCGAACGUUAUUCGGAAUCACUGGGCUUAAAGGGUGCGUAGGCGGCCCUCUUAGUCGCGUGUGAAAGCCCCGGGCUCAACCUGGGAACGGCGCGCGAAACGGGAGGGCUGGAGUUCGGGAGAGGAGAGUGGAAUUCCCAGUGUAGAGGUGAAAUUCGUAGAUAUUGGGAAGAACACCGGUGGCGAAGGCGGGUCUCUGGGCCGAUACUGACGCUGAGGAGCGAAAGCGUGGGGAGCGAACAGG
rnacentral:rRNA from 1 species